UGGGGAAUAUUGCACAAUGGGCGCAAGCCUGAUGCAGCAACGCCGCGUGAGGGACGACGGCCUUCGGGUUGUAAACCUCUUUUAGUAGGGAAGAAGCGAAAGUGACGGUACCUGCAGAAAAAGCACCGGCUAACUACGUGCCAGCAGCCGCGGUAAUACGUAGGGUGCGAGCGUUGUCCGGAAUUAUUGGGCGUAAAGAGCUCGUAGGCGGUCUGUCGCGUCUGCUGUGAAAACCCGAGGCUCAACCUCGGGCCUGCAGUGGGUACGGGCAGACUAGAGUGCGGUAGGGGAGAAUGGAAUUCCUGGUGUAGCGGUGGAAUGCGCAGAUAUCAGGAGGAACACCGAUGGCGAAGGCAGUUCUCUGGGCCGUAACUGACGCUGAGGAGCGAAAGCGUGGGGAGCGAACAGGAUUAGAUACCCUGGUAGUCCACACCGUAAACGUUGGGCGCUAAGUGUGGGGACCACUCCACGGUUUCCGUGUCGCAGCUAACGCAUUAAGCGCCCGCCUGGGGAGUACGGCCGCAAGGCUAAAACUUAAAUGAACUUGACGGGGUC
rnacentral:rRNA from 1 species